GACGAACGCUGGCGGCGUGCUUAACACAUGCAAGUCGAACGGACAGGCCCUGCUUUUGUGGGGUGCUCGAGUGGCGCACGGGUGAGUAACACGUGAGUAACCUGCCCUUGACUUUGGGAUAACUUCAGGAAACUGGGGCUCAUACCGGAUAGGAGCUCCUGCUGCAUGGUGUGGGUUGGUAAGUUUCGGCUGUUGGGGAUGGACUCGCGGCUUAUCAGCUUGUUUGUGGGGUAGUGGCUUACCAAGGCUUUGACGGGUAGCCGGCCUGGGAGGCUGACCGGCCACAUUGGGACUGAGAGACGGACCAGACUCCUACGGGAGGCAGCAGUGGGGAAUAUGGCACAAUGGGCGGAAGCCUGAUGCAGCAACGCCGCGUGCGGGAUAACGGCCUUCGGGUGGUAAACCGCUUUCGCCUGUGACGAAGCGUGAGUGACGGUAAUGGGUAAAGAAGCACCGGCUAACUACGUG
rnacentral:rRNA from 1 species